rnacentral:rRNA from 1 species
UACGAAGGGGGCUAGCGUUGUUCGGAAUCACUGGGCGUAAAGGGUGCGUAGGUGGCCUGUUAAGUCAGGGGUGAAAGACGGUAGCUCAACUAUCGCAGUGCCCUUGAUACUGAUGGGCUUGAAUGAACUAGAGGUAGGCGGAAUGUGACAAGUAGCGGUGAAAAUGCAUAGAUAUGUCACAGAACACCAAUUGCGAAGGCAGCUUACUAUGGUUUUAUUGACACUGAGGCACGAAAGCGUGGGGAUCAAACAGG